AACCACAUGCCAAAACUAUAAAUAAUAUUAAAAUUACAAAAAUAAUCAAUAUCCAACUCACAGAGUUGUUAACUCAAUUGCAGCUAGUCCGGCUGGAGAUAAGAAAGGUUAGUCGGCACUGAUCAUUUAUGCAGACACACUAACCUCUAUCGGUUUACUAACAUAAUUAAUCAAUUAAUUUAAUUAAAAAAGUAAGAAUAAUUCCUAAGGUCUUAUCAAAAUUUUAGCAGAGUUUUCCCUAUAAUUAGACCUAAACCCCUUGCAAGAAAACAUAACUACAGCAACACACCAAGCCUCAGGCCCACAACAAUAAUUAUAAUGCUCAUACGGGGCUUACAAAAAAUCUAAUAUAAGUUCAAUCAUGCAAACUAUAGCUCAGGUCCCUCACUCCUCUAUAAUUCAAAAUAAUUAUUUUCAGCACUUCAAAAAUUAUGAAAAUAUUCCUGGAAAUCCUUUAUAUUAUCUUUUUAUCAAUUAAACUCAUUUUACUUAAUUUAAUAAGCCAAGAAUAUUUUAUUGAUUUAACUAGCUAGCUUAAUUAAGAUACAAAUGACACAACUUGAGUUAGGGACUACCUUUACAAAUUUUGCUACCUGAAAUACGUCCAGAACGUUUGAAAAUACUGGAAAUGACUACAAACACGAUCACCUUCCACGACACGGAGCUGGACCGACCCAAAAACUCAGUCCUAAGUGUCCGUCGAUCCAAUCUCACCGAGCGAUCUGGACCACUCGAUGAUCGUAUUUUCCAAGCGGUGUCUGAUAAGAGUGAGGUUGGUCCCAUUCCUAAGGUUUCAUCAUGCUGAAUUCAAAGGUGGUCUUGGAUCGCCGAGAAAGAGCCCCAAGACGCCACUACCCAUCCAUUUCUUUUCCUCUAUGUUUCUCGCUGGUUCCUUAAUGGAAUCAACCAUUGGUGGUUGUUUUUGGUAGUCUGAAUUGUCUAGAGUCGCCCCCAUAAAUUCGACGGUGGUUGGAAGUGAAGAACACCGACAAGUAGCUUGGAAGAGGGACGUUAUUCUUUCCUUUCCUCUCCUCGCAACCAGCCUCGAUGGCCAUUGAUUCACACUGCUGGUGGUGCUAAAAGACUCAUCGGACAUCAUUUGGGCUAUAGUAAGUGUUGCCGGCGUUAAUGGAGGUUGACCGGAGAAGGAAUGGAUGAGGGGAGGAGGCUGGUUGUCGAGGCUGGUUGUCGAGGCUUACGUGGUUCUCUUCCCUUGAGCGAUCCUAGCUUCACCUCUCACUACUCGACGGCCUUAUGUCCUCUACUGAACCUCUGGCAUCGCAAGGUGACUAGCAACUGGUUAUUGGUGGUGUUAGCUUGCCGAAGAAAGGGACAAAACAUGGGAAAGGAGAAUCAAGGAGAGAGAGGACGUGGGUAAGGGAUGGUAGGUGGAGAAAGCUUUCGAUUGGUGGGUUAAAUUGGUUCUUCCAUUUGAUUAGCUGCUGAAUUGUGAUUUAAAUUCAUGUUAUUAUUAUUAUUAUAUUUCCAUUACUUUUCUUUUUUUCUCCUGUAUUAUAUGUGUAUAAAAUAAUUUAACUAUAAUGAAUCUUACCUACCA
rnacentral:misc_RNA from 1 species